GCUGAUUAAAGGAGCACCCCUCAUUCAUUCGCUUCAGUUUCAUGGUUUUUCAGUUCUCAUCAAUGUCUAACUUUUUCAUUUUUGAAUAUAUAAAAUCAUCACUCACGAUCUAACGCAGAUCAUCACGACUAACUUUCAAAAGAAACUCAUCGAACAUAACCAAAAACAUAGCAAAUAUGCCGAAGAUAAUCCAAUGAUAUUUCAAAUCUAGUAAAGGAAUUAAAACCAAGCUUCGGAACUGUAGUUACUAAUUCUUCAAUGGAAAGGUAUUCGACAACAUCAAAUCAAUCCUCUCGAAAUGCAAUCUUAAAGGAAUAAAUUAACUCCAAGCAAUCAAAAAGCAUGCAUGUAAAAGCAAACAGUAUAAGAUUAACACAAUCAAAGCACGAAGAACAAUUGUUUUUCUUUUUUUUUUUUGUCAUUUUUGACAACUACCUUUUCAAGUGCACAAAUUGCAAGCCACACGUUUCCUACCAUCACUCCUACUCCUGCUCAAACUCAAACUCAAAUCACUCCCUAAAAUGAUCCACCCAUUACCCUUACCUUGCUGACUUAGUCAACCCAUAUGCAAAAGCCAAAGUGGUAAAACAGCAGUCUUUUUUUUUGGAAAGGCAGAUCUAAAGUAGCAGUCUUGGUCAUGUAGUAUAUACAAUUAUGAAAGAACAGACUACCGUAGCAAAGCAAAACCAGCAGCCGUAUUGGCCAAUGGCCGCGCAGAACGUAGCAUUUGCAUGGAACGCGUAGAUCAACUUUGCCACAUGAAACAUGAAACCAAACCUGCUUGUCAGAUUUAUGUUUUUACCUUCCUAAAGGAAUCAACGUAGACCCUUCUGCUGGAACAAGAACACCUUGGCGAUAUUGGACUAAACACAUGUAAAACUGCCCUGUCCCAGCGAGAAUAGCUUGCUUGCUGCAUGCACCAAGGUUCAAGGUGGUUUGCUUUUUCCUUGAGAUAUGAGAAUGGGAUGUCUUAAAUCAAACUCCGAGUUAAACAGCAGAAACAUGGUUUUAAAGUUGGAUUCUUUUCACAAAUACCCCUCAUAUUUGAGGUAUUUUUGAUAAUAACCUUAUUUUGUAAUUUUAACUAUUUUUAAUCAAAAGAAAUUAAUUAUAGACAAAAUUACCUUUAGUGAAACCGAUCUAUAUGUUUAGGUCUGUGCUUCCAAUCUAUUCAUAUUCUUUGAGCUUUCCUUGCCAGACCCUUCGUAUUUGAAGUAUUUUUUACUAUAAAGAAAAACCUUUAAGCAUUUUGAAACAAUUUUUACUACACGAAGAAAAAUCUUUGAGCAUUUUGAGUAUUUUUAUACAUUUUCGAGUAAGUUUUUAUCUAUGAAGAAAAACCUUUGAGCAUUUUUCGUGCAGUAGACGUAUUUGUUGAUUAUGCUGUUAAAUGAAAUAUGGUGUAAUAUUUGAAGUUGUUGAUUUUAUUAAAUGAAAUUUAGUAGUUUUGGUGGUUUUUAGGCAUUACAUAACUGAUUUUUGGACAUCACGUGCUUAGUUUUUAGGUAUUGCGUUACUGAUUUGUAGAUAAUGCGUGACUGAUUUUUAUAUAUUGCAUUAUUGGUUGAUAUGGUAUUACGUGACUGGUUGAUAUGCAUUACGUAAUUGGUUAGUAAAACAUUACGUAAAUAGUUAGUAAGACAUUACGUGACUUAAGGCAUUACCUAAAAAUUAGUCACGCAAUAUCUAAAAUCAGUUACGCAAUGCCUAAAAAUUAGAUACGCUAUAAUUAAGUUAUGCAAUGUCUAAAAAUCAGUCUUGCAAUAUUUAAAAACCAAUGACAUAAUGUUUAAAAACUAAUAAUACAAUACCUAGUAACUAAAUUGUCAAAGCCAUACAAUAUUUUAAUUUACAUAUAUGUUUAAUCAAUUUCAACCCCUCAACUUUGAGGUUUUAUGAAUAAACCAAUAAACCUAAGAACGUAAAACAUAUACCUUGAUGUCAUCUCUACUCUUUGGGAUGACAACAAAGAGUCGGAUGGCGAGAUAAAUCGUAUUUGGCAAGAGAGAAAUCAAGAUUUAAUUUUAAAAUUUUUGUCUAGAUGGCAGGAUAGAGAAAACUGAAACCAUUUUAAUUUGUCUGAAAUUGGUUAAAAAGUAUUGUUGUCAAGUUAUGUAAAAAAUUGAUUAAAAAUAGUUAAAAUUAUAAUGAAGUGUUAUGAAAAAAUAACUUAAAAGAACAAAUAAAGAUAACUUGAAAGAAUAAUUAAAGAAAAGAAAGAAAAUAUUUAAAAGAGAUUUUAUUGAAGUAUGUGAUUACAAAUGAACCGAGGGGCCUAUUUAUAGGCAAUUAACCCCCUUAUCUUGAUAGAGUUUACAAGAUGAAGAUAACACUUAGGGAUAAGAUAGAUUAAAUCUUAAUCCAACUUAAUUUACAUCAAAUCUAGAUAUAGAUAACAUAAAUGGAUAUUUACAAAAUAUUCAUAACACUCUCCUUUAAAUAUCCAUUAUAUUAAAAAUAUGUCUCAUAAAACCUUAUAAGGAAAAAACCUCAUGGGAAAAAAUCAGAGCAAAGGAAAGAGAGUACAUAAUUCUUUUCAAAAAUACGCUUUUGAAAUAUUGCCUCAUUAAAAACUUUAUCAAGAAAAACUAAGUGAGAAAACCUUGAUGAAAAGAGUAUAAUGCAUAUUUUACUUCCACUGCAUUAUUUAAAAUAUUUAAAACAACGUAUUCCAAUUUUUUGUACCAAUUUUUUGAAUGUUGCAGUAGGAAGGGCUUUAGUAAAUAAAUAUGCUAGAUUGUCAUUUGAACGAAUUUGUUGAACACUAAUAUCACCAUUUUCUUAGAGAUCAUGAAUGGAGAAGAAUUUUGGUAAAAUAUGUUUUGUUCGAUCGCCUUUAAUAUAUCCUUCUUUUUACUGUGCUAUACAAGCAGUAUUAUCUUCGUAUAAUAUUGUUGGAAUUUCUUUUUUAGUUGACAAGCUGCACACUUCUCGGAUAUGUUGAGUUAGAGAUCUUAACUAUAUACAUUCAUGACUUGCCUCGUGAAUUGUUAAAAUUUUUGCAUGGUUAGAAGAAGUAGCAACUAAAGUUUGUUUUACAGAAUGUCAUGAAAUAGUCGUAUCUGCAUAUGUGAAUAAGUAACCUAUCUAGGAUCGAGCUUUGUGUGAAUCUAAUAAAUAUUUUGCAUUUGCAUAACCAAUUAAAUAUGAUUUUAUUGCAUUUGAAUAAUAUAAGCUCAUAUCCAUUGUUCCUUAGAGAUAUCGAAGUAUAUGUUUAAUUUUAUUUUAAUGUCUUCGAGUUAGAGAAGAACCAUAUUUUGCUAAUAAAUUCAUAGCAAAUGAUAUAUCAGGUCGUGUAUUGGUAGCAAGAUACAUUAAUACUCAAAUUACAUUAAGAUAUGAUAUUUCAGGAUCAAGAAGUUUUUCGUUAUCCUCAUGAGGUUGGAAAUGGUUUUUUUUCAUAUCUAAAGAUCUUACAACCAUUAGUGAACUCAAUGGAUGUGCUUUGCUCAUAUAAAAUCGUUUUAGCACUUUCGUUAUAUAAUUAGAUUGAUGGACAAAAAUUUCAUUUGUCAAGUGUUCAAUAUGAAGACCCACACAAAACUUUAUUUUUCUAAAAUUUGUCAUCUCAAAUUCUUUCUUUAAAUAAUCCACGGUUUUUUUAUAACUCUUCAGGAGUUUCAAUAAUAUUUAGAUCAUCAACAUAAACAGCAAUUAUCACAAAUUCAAAUCAGAAUAUUUUUAUAAAAACACAUGGGCAUAUAGGGUCAUUUUUAUAGCCUUCUUUCGAUAAAUAUUCACUAAGAUAAUUAUACAACAUGCAUCCGGAUUGUUUUAAUCCAUAUAAAAAUUUAUUUAAUUCGAUCGAAUAAAUCUCCUAGGAAUUCAAAUUUUGUGUUUUAAGCAACUUAAAAAAGGCAGUCAAUAAUUGAAAUAUUGUCCUUUUUCAUCAUCAAAAGGUUUCUUCCAAGUUGUAUUAAUAUAGAAAUUGAUAACAGAAAAAGUAUUAAUGGAGAAAUAAAGAAAUCAAAAGAAAAAAACAUUAAGUUUAUACCAUUAAAAGGUGCAACACUCGUCUACGAAACACUGGUACUAUGUAGUCCACUAUAGAAACAAAAUUAAUCUUUCUAUUGAGAAUUAAUUCAUGCUUUGAAAGUUCCCUAUUAUUUAUAUUUUUGUUUUUUUCAAUUUGUCUUUGAUUUUUUAUUUUUUUCGUUUUCUUUUCUAUUUAUAUUUUGUGAAAAAAAUUAAAAAAAAAAGAAUUUAAUAAAAGUGUUGUCAAUCCAUCUCUGACAAUGAGAUGUGAAAAAAGAAUUUGAUAAAGAAAAAUAUUAAUAAAGAAAUAAAUAAAUCAAAAGAAAAUGCAUUAAAGUAUAUAUGAAACUUUAUUAAAAGCUGAAAAAAAUAGUUUAACUUUAUCGAAAGCUCUCUCUAUAGAAAUUCCUACUUUCAAUCCUUAAGAUCAAUAUAUCCUUAUUGAAAAUAUUGAUUUUAAUACUAAUAAUCUCAUUGUAAGCCAACUUCCAUCAACUCCAUUCAAGUGCCUAGAGUUAGAAUAUUUAUUAUUUUCUAAUAAUGCCUUGGAGGGAAGUGUGCCGUAAGAAAUUGGAAAUUUGACUAGAUUAAGCUUGUUGUACCUUGAUCAUAACAAUCUAACAGGUAUGCUUAAUGUGAGCCUUCUUUUAGACAAAAUAUUUUGUGAGAAGCAGUAACUAUAGAUUAUAUUUAAAAAAGAGAAGGGAUGAAAAAUCCCAUACAAACUUUUUUUCCUUCAGACAAAUUAAAUGAUUAGUUGGUAAUUUAAUUUUAGUCAUGAGUUCAGAUUUAUGAUUGUAAUUUUCAUUUAAGUUUAACUUGAGAAUUUUAAUUUGAAAGAAGAUGUUUAAAUUUCAAAUAUUGUAUAAGUAUGGGUGAUAAAACUCAUGAUAAUAUGACUUUCUUCUAAGAUACAUAGGAAUUAGCGUAUGAUUUGGGUUGAGUUAGAUAUUAUUAUGAUUUACAUAAAUUAAAAUAAAUUGUGAAUUCAAUAUAAAAAUUAAAUAUAAAUUUAAUUUCACGAUUAGUAUUUAUCAUUUCUUAAAUUUUAAAGUAAAUGUUGCAUGAAAAAGACAGCCAAUAACUGAAAUAUUGUCUGCUUCAUUUGUCCUUUUUCAUCAUCAAAAGGUUUCUUUCAAGUUGUAUUAAUAUAGAAUUUGAUAAAAUUAAGAAACAGCAUUAAUGGAGAAAUAAAGAAAUCAAAAGAAAAAGCAUUAAGUUAUAUUAAAAAUAGAUUAGUGAAAUCUGCAAAUUAAAAAUUAAGGUAUCAUAAUCAAACCGCAAUGUCAAUGGAAGUGGAGCUGAGAAUAUCAACCAGACUUUGCUCUACUAAGCUUUAGCUUGAUUGGCUCUGAAUGUUUCCCCACUGAUAAAAGAGCUGGAGCUACCAAGUUUAUAAGAUAAAAGAGCUGUAGGGUAUGUAAAGCAGGAUGCAAAAGUGCAGUUACAGCACAAUUGCCAAUAGUUUUCAUUAUCAAAAACUUGGUGGUGUUCUAUAAAAUGUAACAUUGAUCUUUGAGCACUCCAAUAAAAUUGUACGAUUGAUGUGUAGGUACUGUUAUCAUAAUCGUAAGUGUUUGCUGUGUCAAUGUGCAUUCAAGUUUAUAUGUACGAAUAGAUGAAGAAAAUAGCUGUUGCUUUGCUGCUUCAUCUCUCUGUUCGUCCCUCUCUCUUAUCUUUAUAACACCCAACUCUAAUAACCUCAAUAGAUGAUAGCUACGUUUUCCUUCUUGAUCUCUCUGACAAUGAUUCCAAUGUAUCAUAUACGAUAUUCAUGUACAAAAUACAAAACAUACGAUAAUCAAUAAGAUCAUCUCAUCUGAACAAUAGAAAAAAUCAUUAAAGAAUCAUUGACAUACCAAACGGAUGAGUUUAUAAGGCAUUGUCCGAUGGGGCUAAGUUCGCUCCCAUAGGUCUAGUCAAGAUGUUCAGUUCAAGUGGGGCUAUCAAGGAGUUGAAAUAUGAAUGUGAAAAGCUUACAACUAUUGUCUUGAAAGUAUUAUCACGCAUGAAUGUACUCUCCAGGGGAGCCCAAUUUCAACAUAUUAGCGAGUGGGAUGUUGACAAGAAUUGAAGAAAGGAGAUUGCGGGACAAGAAUUGGAUUCAUUAUGUGUUGGGGGUCAAAAAGAUAUCUAAAAUAUUCAGAUAAUAUUGCUUUAAUUUCAUUAUUACUUCAUUGUGAAUUCUGAUCGACCUAUCUUAAAUUACAUACAUUAAAGAUAGAAGAUUUUUCUUACAUUCCUGUAUAUAGAUAAGAUUUUCCAUAUACAUCAGGAGAAAUCUGAGAGAAGAGAGAAUAGACCUCAGCUCCCGUAGAGAGUUGUACUACUCGUUAGGCUAGCUAACAUGUGCGAUGAAUGAUAGUUGCAUAAUAAUUCAUCACUUCUUUCUUCUUGUCGGUUUAGAAUUCUACUCCUAAGUAAUACCACAUUGCUCAUUAUCUGCAAAAUCUAUGACUGGUUCGAUUAGUAUGAAGCAUAGCUUAAACAAUGACAGGCAGCAGCUAUGAAAGCAAGACCAGCAAAGGAGAGAAUCAUAUCAGGCAGGCAAAGUGAAGGCUCUCAAAUCUCAACGGUAACUAACCAGGAGGAAGGGUCUUCAUGUACAAAGUAACUUGCAGACACUAUCAGAUAGCUGAAAAGAAGCAUUAGUCCCUUGAAGUAAUUGGCAGUUCCUUCCUGGAAACAACACAUGGUGUAGGUUGAAUUACAUAUUUAACAGAAGAAAGAAUGAUGGAGAAACAUUGAUAGACCUCUUCUCUGACUAUCCCUUUGAUUUUACCAUAUUCUAGACUAGAACUCCAGUCUUCUCUCCUCAGAGUUAGUAUAUCUUUUUAUUUAUUCUUAUUACUUUUUCCAGUUGGGUUCUUGAUAUACAUACCUGCAUCAAGAAGGCUACAAAUAGAACAGUCAUGACCAGAGUUGCUGUCUCGAAAAGUUGAAAGUUUAAGUCCACCGGGCGCUCAAAUAUCCAUCCGAUAACCACUAAAAAGGGAAUCUGUGGUAAACAAUAAUACAAAUUUCAGAUACAUGCUAGGCAAAAAGAACAACAACAGCAGAUUUGCAGUAAAAACAAGAUAAAUGAUCAAGCAUUCAAAUGAUGCAACAUGGGAACAACCCAAGUUCCCUGUAUGAGCUACUAAAGCCCAUGGUAGAGGGGCAUCUUUGAUCAUUUCCUGAUACAUCAGAAAGAAACAAUACUGUUGUUUGACUUCUGAAUGCACUACAUGUUCACAAAGGAACUUUGUGAAAUGAAAAUCACCUACCAAAAACAUGGAAAUCUGCGUUGAUGACCCUAUUGCUACUCCCAAAGACACAUCCUGCAGAGAAAUUCAAUUAAACAGGAAACGAUAAGCCGCAAAAAUUUUCAGAAAUGGAAAGAAAAAUCCCUCACAAGUUUGUUUUUCAUGGCAAACAUGACUGAGGUUGUAACUGCUGCUGUGUUCCCACCUAUAGGAAGCAAGAUAACAGUAAUAAAAGCGACUGGUACACCCCAAGCAAGGGAUGCUCCCUGCAAAAACCAGCAAACAAGAAAAAGGUCAUCUGUCUUGGAAGAUAGAUCAACAAAAUAUUUUAAAAAAAGGUGACCAGCAUAUAUUACCUCUAUGGCAUCAACCAGAUACUCUGAAAGGAUAGAGAUCGCAGCUGCCAUAAUUGCAAGCCAGAUCGCUGAUUCCCAUUUAGAGAUCUCUGGGGCUUCUUCAUCAUCAUCUAAGUCUCCGUUCUGACCUUCUUCCUGAUUUCAUACCAUUUGUCAAACCUCUAACUAAUACUAUAUCAAAAGAAUGGAAGAGAAAAGAGAAAAUCAACACUAGGGAUGAAGGAUCACCAGAUCAUUUAGAUUCUUUAACUGGAAAACGAUAUAGGCAAUAUAGGCUGGAAGCAUGACGCAACUACUAAAUCUUGAGAGAGCCAACUCUGAGAUCCCCAAAUGCACUUCAGUGUGUGUGCUGUGGAGGAAUGCUGGGAACAGUAGGCCCAUGACCGCCAUCAACAGCAGUCCUGAAUUGACAACAGCUGUUGGCUGCAUGGAAGUUUAGCUCAGCUUUGGGAUCAACAAAAAGUAAACAAAGGAACUGAAAGAAAAGCAGAAGGAAAUGGCAAUGUAUUAACCUUGCUGAAAACCUGCUCCUUUCUAACAAUCCCACCAAAGAAGAAUGCACAUCCCAGAACAAACAACAGGUUUGACAGAAGUGAGCCAAGCAAUGACAGCUGAACAACACGUAUCUUUCCAGUUCUCAGUGCAUAGAUUGAUAUAAUCAGCUCUGUUGCAUUCCCGAAUGUAGCAUUUAGAAGACCACCGACUGCAAAUGUUCAUCUCAAAAUAUCAACUACUACUUAAGGAACAAACUGAAGUUGGCCAGAAACUAGAUGUGGAUGUUUCUGCAGCAAGCACAGAUAUUGAUGUGAGAUCCUGUAGAACAAAUAAACAAUACCUGUAGGUCCACUGUAAAAAGCCAACUGCCUUCAAUGAGAGCAAACAAAAAUUCAAUGUUAGCUGCUAAACCAAACAACCUUUUCUGAAAUUGGAAAAGAGUAAUUUACAGGGAAAGAACAUCAGAAUCCUUACUCUGUAGUAUAACCUAAACGCUCAGCCAAAGGCAUUAUACCCAAUAAGCCAAGAAUAAAGACCCAACCCUGUGAUCCAAUUCAGCAAAUAUCAAUGGCAUGCACAUUGCUGUACUACUCUAUCAACAAACUAAAGUGUAUGAUACAAAUAAAAACUUACAUUCUGACCAGUCGUUUUCUGGACGACGAUUGCUAGAGGCCCAAAGGGGAUCAGCAAGUUGAAUUUCUUUGACAGAACUACAGUUUUUAUACUUUUGUACACGCCUAUCCCUCUACCACCAUCUGGCAAACUAACAGAAAAUGCUUGUUGUCGAUCCACAGCAUUAACAGAAUGUCGAGCAUCCCUUCCCAGGUUGUCAUCAACCUCAUGCGUGGCCCUGUCAUCUAGUGAUUGCAUCUGCUACAUCAAGCAUCAACCAGAGAUUAGAAACCAACGCCACCUCAGCAACUCAAACUGCAGACUAUGUAUUGAUUUCUGCACUAAAAAACUUACUUCAAGGUGGGAUUUGAUCCCAAAUAUUUGCAGCUUGUAAUCCAUCUUCUUGUGUUUAAAUUUAAUAAUACCAGGAUUAGUUCCCUAUCCCUAUUGAUUAAAGGAGCAACCCCUAUUCAUUCGCUUCAGUUUCAUGGUUUUUCAGUUCUCAUCAAUGUCUAACUUUUCAUUUUUGAAUAUAUAAGAAUCAUCACUCACUAUCUAACGCAGAUCAUCACGAUUAACUUUCAAAAGAAACUCAUCGAACAUAACCAAAAACAUAGCAAAUAUGCUGAAGAUAAUCCAAUGAUAUUUCAAAUCUAGUAAAAGGAAUUAAAACCAAGGUUCGCAACUGUAGUUACUAAUUCUUCAAUGGAAAGGUAUUCAACAACAUCAAAUCAAUCCUCUCGAAAUGCAAUCUUAAAGGUAUAAAUUAACUCCAAGCAAUCAAAAAGCAUGCAUGUAAAAGCAAACAGUAUAAGAUUAACACAAUCAAAGCACGAAGAACAAUUGUUUUUCUUCUUUUUUUUCAUCAUUUUUGACAACUUCCUUUUCAAGUGCACAAAUUGCAAGCCACACGUUUCCUAUCAUCACUCCUACUCCUACUCAAACUCAAACUCAAAUCACACCCUAAAAAGAUCCACCCAUUACCCUUACCUUGCUGACUUAUUCAACCCAUAUGCAAAAGCCAAAGUGGAAAAACAGCAGUCUUUUUUUUUUUUUUUGGAAAGGCAGAUCUAAAAUAGCAGUCUUAGUCAUGUUAUGUACAAUUAUGAAAGAACAGACUACCGUAGCAAAGCAAAACCAGCAGCCGCAUUUGCCAAUGGCCAUGCAGAACGUAGCAUUUGCGUGGAACACGUCAAUCAACUUUGCCACAUGAAACAUGAAACCAAACCUGCUUGUCAGAUUUAUGUUUUUACCUUCCUAAAGGAUUCCACGUAGACCCUUCUGCUGGAACAAGAACACCUUGACGAUAUUGGACUAAACACAUGUAAAACUGCCCUGUCCCACCGAGAAUAGCUUUCUUGCUGCAUGCACCAAGGUUCAAGGUGGUUUGCUUUUUCCUUCAGAUAUGAGAAUGGG
rnacentral:lncRNA from 1 species